AAAGGUCCCGCCAAAAAUCACUUAUUUUCAUCAAAAGGUGCAGUUUCCUUAAAAUUAGACAUGAUCCAAGAUGAUAUCUUGUCGGAAAUUGUAAGCCUGGGCCCCCCCCAAAAUUGAAGCCUAAAUUUCCGGUACUGAGAGUAUUGCAAGCAGAAAUGAGGAACUUACAGUAUGUAGUCAAUUUUUUGCAACAAUAUCAACGAGGCAUGUUUAUGAAUUGAAUUAGAAAUUGCUUUGGAAAAAGCAAAAAAAUUUGAAACAUGUUACUAAAGUUUCUUUUUGUCUGACACACUUCAGAGUAUAAAACACCAGAACAUAGAUCAAAAACUCUAUGCUAGGAAAUGUAUAUACGCAGUUUGUGGAUCAAAAUAGGCCAGUCAAAAACGAUUUAUACUCUGAAGAGUGUCAGACGGACAAAAAGCUUUAGUAAUAUGUUUCAAAAUGUUUGCUUUUUACCAACCCAUUUUUAAAUUCUGUAUCAUGAAAGAUUGUUUGAAUAAAAAAUAAGGUUUGAUUAAUUUUCUAAAUCUCAAUGUUUAAGGUUACGAUAAAUCACAUUCUAGUAGCCAAACUUUCAAGGCACACAAUAAUACCAUGUUUGAAACUAACAAAAACUUUGAAAAUAGGAAAAAUCUCAUGUAAACAAAGGUUUCCAUAAUUGUUUUGAUCAAAACUUUGAGUUAAGGUCUGAAAUUGCUUGACAUGUUAAUCUGAUUAUCAUUGCUUUGUGGUUGUGGUUGCAUAGCUCAUUUACAGUAUUGCAUGGCACAUCGCUGUAUCCCAGGUUCGUACAGCUGUGUUUAUUUAAAUAGGCUUAUUGCUCUUAAAGCUUCAAAUGACUUGGCCCAAAUUACACUGUGGUUCACUAGUGUACCUUGCAAGUGCGAUCAGCAAAAUCCCGUUUUCUCUCUGGCCUCACAAUUCCUCUACAUACAGCUAUUUUGUACCCAAGGAACCAAUCAAAUGGCAAAAAAAUUUGCACAUGGCCAGGACAGGUGUUGGCGGUUAACAGCGUGCAAAUAUACCGAGGCAAUUGCAGGAAAGAAUCUCUAUUUAAAAUUGGAGGCAGAGGAACUAGACUGGAUGCAAACAUUAUCUCUUCUAAAACGUCAUCCAGACUAUCCCUGUGUGCUAAAUCGUGUAUUGAUGAAGCAAGUUGCAAAAGCUUCAACUACAAUGUGGUUGCAUUGAUUUGUCAGCUGCUUUCGAAAGACAAAAAUGACGUUGGUGCAGAAAAGCUUUUGGCCGUAGAGGGUUGGAAUUAUUAUCAACCAGUCAAGUUCAUGGAUACACCAAGGUGCCGGACAGAAACAAGUUCCGAAAAGUGCCCUUUCAAUGAAGCUUGCGAUGAGGUGUGCGAAAAUCCAGUUGGCCAUAAAUGCCGAACAUUAGGUGAGUUAUCAUUUCAUAAUGUAAUUUUCUUCCUCAAUUUGGUUUAUUUUGUUUUCAGCGUCAAGUUUCAUUGCAUUGUCUA